ACAUUAAGCAGAGGCCUUUUACAAGGUAGAUAUGAUUUAUUUUGAUCCCAUUUUGGACAAUGUAAAGCACAUGUGAAACAUAUGAUAUUGCCUGCUGCAGAAAGUUUUAUAUUCCAACUGUCAGGUUUCAUUGGACAUGUUUAAGUUUUGUGGUUUGUUCAAUUCCUGUGAUAUGAUAAAUAAGGCCACUUCAUUGAAUGUAUGAUAUGAUUAUAAGAUCACUGUGUACAUUUGGUGUAUGGAAUACUGUUUAAGAAAUAAUUCUAUCCUGACAUGCUCUAUGCUCAUUUUAACAUGGGUAGGCAUUAUAUUUGUUAAUAUCUUAAUACCGAGCGUUUGCGAGGUAUUAAAUGUUUACAAAUAUAAUGCCUACCCAUGUUAAAAUGAGCAUAGAGCAUGGCAGGAUAGAAUUAUUUCGAUUCUAAUAGGAAUAUUUGAACUUUUUCACUUCGAAGCUGACCUAUAGUAAACGCUCGGAAUGUCGCCAUUUUGAUUUCAUAAACUAAAAACGUUAUAGAAAAUCAGCAAUUUAUCAAUAAAAAAAGAACAGAAACAUUUAAACUUACUUUUAGAAUGUUUUUAUUUAAUUUCCUAGCGAGCAACACCAACAAAAAUGUCCAUUUUGAUCUCUGGCGUUGUUCAAAAUUCAUCUGACGUUGCAAUUUCAAUUGUGACGUCAAUCACGUGCAGCCCAUGUUCUAUUUGAAUUAGAACAUGGCUUUGUACCCAAAGCUUAAGAAGAACGUCAUAUUAGAAUUGGUUACAUGUCUGUCUGGCAGGUAACAUAUAACCUUGACCUCAUUUUCAUGGUUCAUUGGUCAACGUUAAUAUUUUGUGAUUUGAUUUGUUUCUCAGGUACAAUUAAUGAUAGGACCAUUUAUAUUUUUGGUGUAUAGAAUGAGUAUAAGGUAUACAUGCCUUUCCAUAACUCUUGUGAAUAGUUUUUUUUAAGGAUUUAAAACUUAUGAUAAAUUUUUCUUUUAUUUCAGCAAAAAUUAAAGGAAUUCGAACUUCUAGAUAAAGAAUUAAACCAAAAAGCAAAGGAAGCAGCUGAAAACAGUAGUUCAUCUUUGAUAUGGACAGCUCUAGGUAUUUCUGUGGUUGUAAUAGCUGGUAGUUUGUUCUUUGCCAAGAAAUAUAAUAAACUGCCUGAUUUGUUGAAUAUUAAACUACCAACAUCUUGGUCAUCUUAAUAGACCUUUGAUUGUAUCAACAGUAUCUAACUUAAUGGUUGUUAAUUCAGAGUAACAUUUCAAAAGUUUAAUGAAGUUAGUUUGGAUGGAACUGAAGUCUUUAAAGAAACAAUUUACCUGAUGAAUAUUCAGUGAAUAGUGAUGAGUUAUAAAAUAACUACACUUAUACUGUAGAUGGAGUAGAGUUGUAGUUUUAAGUUUUCUGAUGAAAGAGAGGGAAAGUGAAAAAAUAGAUCUCAUUAAUAUACAAAUUCAAUUCACAAGAUCAAAUUCAUUCUAAUUCUUCUUAUUUAGAUAUUUUUAAAAGCAUUUUAUUUUAGAUUAUCUGAUUAUAUACCAUCCAUGAGUAUCCACUGCCACACAGCAAUUGCAUAUUUAAAAGUUUAUAUUCUUAAGAUUUUUAUUUAAAAGAAAUGAUUAGCAUGUUCAAAUAUCAUAAUGUAAAAAGGUUAGAUAGUUCAUAGGGUUUUCUUUAAAUCUUCUUCAAUAUCAUUUACUUGUAUGACUAAAGUAAGAGUUUUUGCAGAAUAUUUAAGCAUAUACAUUUUUUCAAAUGGAAAGUUAAUUUGUAUAUAUGUUAUGGAAUGCAUUGAUUACUGUGAUCUCUGUCUUUAUUAUGCUCAAAGCAUUUAUUUUUUAUGCAGAUGCAGAUUGAUUUUUUAAAGUCUCAAGACUUUUAUUAUUUUAGGUUUCUGUGAUUUGACAAUAGAGAUUUGGUUAUUUUAAGAGGUCAUUACUUUAAUUAUAAUGUAUUGAAAGAUAGGUUGUUGUUGAGAGUUCUAAUACAAGAACAUUAACGUUUGGGCAUGGGAUUGGAAGGCACUCUUUGUUUCACCCAUACAAUUGCAUUUUACUUUGCAUACAUACACUCACAAUUUGAACUUAAAAGACCUCACAAUUUGAACUAAGUGACCUGCCUGAACCCAUUCAAAAAAAAGUUAAGUGCCUUCCAACUCCCCCAUAUUUUUUUUAAUAACCUUUCAAAGGUUUUAUAAAAUUUCUAAUAACUGUGGUAAUCUAUCAAGUGCUUAAAUUGUUAUAUAUAUAAUACAUAUAAUCAUUAUUAUCAAUUGAGUAUAGGGUUUACUUCUUCAACCUGAAUUACAAAAAUGUAAAUACAAUAUAGAUUUUACAAAAUACAGUACUAAAUGAUAAAAUCAUUUUAAACAAGUCAGCACAAUUUUGCUUUAAUUUUAUAUAAUUGGUACUUUCUCCUAUACAUAUCCUUGUUUUUGCUUAAUAUAUAUUUAAACAUUGCAUUAAUUCAUUUGAACUUCAUUUGCUCUAUUUGAUAAUCUGGUAAUGCUCCUACAUUUAUUUUUAUGUAUUUGUUGUUAAUCCAUAUUUUUCAUAAAUAUAUAUAUUGCUGGUUACAGUAGACAUCUUUCAGUUUUAAUAGUUUGAAAAAAGAUGGUUUAAAUAUUUCUAGAGUAUUAAACAGAAUUUUGAAUUUCUCCUUUGAUUAUUUUUCUUUUUUUGCUUAAGGUAACAUUUUUAUAAGAUAACGACAAUGAAAAAAGAGACAAUUGAAAUUUUAGAACAUUGAGUCAAAUUUUACAGUGAGUUCAUAAUGCUAAUUAAUGAACAAUUACAAUGUAUAAGCUAAUAUAAAUAUCAUUUUUUUUCUACUGAUAAAAAGUAUAAGAAGUUGACUAUAGAUUGCAUAUUUAUUACAGCAAUGAUCAAUAUUUUUCAUAUGACAAAUUUUGAACCCUUCAUUUAGAGUUUAUUGAUAAAUUUGUACAUCCACAAAGUAAUGGUUCAAGUCACAUCAAUAUUCCAUGACAUUCAUCAUGUUUUCCUCCCCAUGUGUUUUAUGUCUUGGUACAUAUGUUAUUAAAUAGAAAUAAGAAUAGUAACUUUCAUUUAAUUUAUCAUUAGUACUUUUAAUUUUUUUGAAAUGGAAGUAAUUUUGUAGACAUGGUGAUAAGAAAAAAAGCUGCAAAAAUAGCUUUAGCCAGAAAGUGUAAAAUAUAAUACCUGCAAAAAUUGAUAUUGUUUUUUUCAAAAUUAGAAUAAAUUCACAGUUUUAAAAUUGGGGGAAUAUUUAAGCAAUUUGACCAUACUUUUUACAUCUCAGAUAGGUACUUAAUAUCAUUAGUAUAAUAGCAAUGCAUUGUAAUAUAGAUUUAAUGUAUAAUCAGGGCAGAUUAAUGAGUAGUAGUUCUGGGAUGUCAGCAAGUGGCAUUUUUCACUACUGUACUAUGUAAUCGAUAUUAAUUUAUACAUUUUUACUCAAAGGUUUGCAAUAGUAAACUUCAGUUUCUUUUUGAAAAUUUCUAAUAUAAGGACUGACUAUACUUAGUUGUUAUAUUCUGUUCAGUUUUGUUUGUUAUGCAAUAUUUUUGUUCUCCAGGGAUCAUAUCGUUAUGUUUUACCUGUAUUUGUCUCAUGGUUGUUCUGUUUAAAUAUAUUGUACGAUAAAGAUAAGCACUAACCAAUUCCAUUACACCUUCCCUUUAAUAUGAGUCAAUCAUAGUUUCACAAAAGUUCAUUCAGUUUUUAUCAGUCCUGUAGUUUUAAGUUUAUUUAGCUUCAUAGUUAAAGGUGUUUUUAUUUGUGGUUUGGGGAAAGGUUUAAUUCCAAAUCUGUUUAUUGUCAUUAUUUUUACACUUUCAUUUUCAUUGCUAUGGAAUUUAUAUGUAUUGUUGACUACUCAAGUUAAACUUGUGUUUUUCUUCAAUUUCGAUAUGGGAUAUCAAUAUUCCUUCAUUGAUAAGAAAGACACAAUACUUGUAUAUUCCCUUAGUAGAUAUGAUACAGUGACAGACCAGAGAUAAGGUGAAUGUAAUUAUCAUUCAAUGUAUUGAUGUAAAAUAUGACCUGACUCAUAGAAAAGUAGAUAAUUUAUACUAUCUGAGUACUAAAAUUCAUUUUGAUUUUGCAUUUAUAAUUUUUUUGCAAGGAACAAUUGUUAAUUCUUCUUUAUUUACAAUGUAUUUAUCUGGAACAACUUUCAUGAAUGAUAAUAAAGUUAUAAC
rnacentral:lncRNA from 1 species